rnacentral:rRNA from 1 species
GCUUGUCUCAAAGAUUAAGCCAUGCAUGUCUAAGUAUAAACAAAUCUAUACUGUGAAACUGCGAAUGGCUCAUUAUAUCAGUUAUAGUCUACUCGACAGUACCUUACUACUUGGAUAACCGUAGUAAUUCUAGAGCUAAUACAUGCAUAAAUACCCAACUGCUUGUCGGACGGGUAGCAUUUAUUAGAUUGAAACCAAUGCAGCUUCGGCUGGUAUUGUGUUGAGUCAUAAUAACUGUGCGGAUCGCUUUUUAAGCGAUAAAUCGAUUGAGUUUCUGCCCUAUCAGCUUUGGAUGGUAGGAUAUGGGCCUACCAUGGCGUUAACGGGUAACGGGGAAUUAGGGUUUGAUUCCGGAGAGGGAGCCUGAGAAACGGCUACCACAUCUAAGGAAGGCAGCG